UUUCUCUUUAUAAAUUUACAUGGGAGAAAUACUUUUUGUUGAUAAUGUUACUUGAUGGGUGGUGAACACAUUUAGAAAUUACUAACUGCAAGUUUUUUUGUCAGGUUUACAGUGUUAAGUUCGUGAGGUGUAGAGAUGCAACGUUAGCCUGUGUGAAAGUUUCUAAUGCGGGUUCGAUUUCCUGAAAUAAGAUCCUCUCUCCUUCAUUCCCGCCGAGGCCUGGUUUUACUACGAGUCUGAAGCAGCCACAUUUGGGCGGUUUUCUACUCCGAGGAGAGAAUUCAUCAAAUGAAUUGGCCCAGACUUCUGCAGUGUCAAGUGAAGGAAGCUUCUAUCAUGAGAUUGCAAACUGAUCUGCAAGUCUGAUGACGCUGAGCGAGAGUGAUGGAGUGAGCAAAAUGAUGAAGAUGAAGCCAGAAUUAAGCCAAGUUCCUGGCUUUUCCCAAGACCUUCAAGGACACGAUUGACCUCGGAAUCAGCUGUAAAGGAGGAUGAAACCGAUGUUUAAGAAUGGGACAGCGAUAUUGCAUCAAUUUGUCUCCUUCAUUUGAUUCCACCAUCGCCACAAGGCUGCAAGGGACCUGGAGAAAUGUCAACGACUGUCAACAAGUAUCUUGUUGUAGUCUUUUCAAAUCUACCUGUCAUAUUUGUUAAUGUCUAGGUAAAUUUGAUGAUUUUAUGUGUUUUAUUAACUGUUAUGUUUCCGUGCAACACUUAAUGAAUGUGACUGACUAAUUAACCUCUACACAUCUGGUAUAUGCUUUAAAGUUGCCACUUUGCCCAUUUGUUAAA